rnacentral:rRNA from 1 species
CCCGCACAAGCGGUGGAGUAUGUGGUCUAAGUCGAUGCAACGCGAAGAACCUUACCUCGACGUUGCCAUCCUGAGAAUCCAUCAUCGAAAUAGAUCGAGUGCCAUUCGGAGGAAUUCCGUGACAGGUGCUGCAUGACUGUUGUCAGAUCGUGCUGUGAGGUGUUGGCUUAAAUCCCGCAACGAGCGUCAACCCAUAGUGCUCGACUCCCAUCACAUAAUGGUGGGCACUUAUAUUGUGACUGCCCGGGUCAACCGGGAGGAAGCUGCCGACGACGUCAUGUCAUCAUGGCCAUUACGUCCAGGGCUACACACGUAGUACAAUGCUGGAUACAGAGUGUCUGCGAACCCGCGAUGUCGAACCAAUCCCAGAAAAUCCAUCCUAGUCCGGAUCGCAGUCUGCAACUUGACUGUGUGAAGUUGGAAUCGCUAAUAAUCCCAGAUCAGCAUGCUGGGGUGAAUACGUUCCCGGGCGUUGUACACACCGCCCGUCACACCACGAAAGCUGGUUAUACCCAAAAUCGACGGAGUAACCUUCAGGU